GGAGUGGCAGGGUAGAUGGGGAUACUACAUUUUAGGACACAGCUUUUCAUGAGUAUAUAUGCCAGUGUGAAAUCUCUGAAGACUUUAGAAAAAUUACUAAUAGUGAAUUUUUACUCCCAUACAUUGGGAAGAGGGGAGUGAUUCCAAAAUCAACUUUUAGAAACCAGCCAUAUAACUGUAUCCAUGUAUUUCAUGCUAUGAUUUAAGCCUCAUACUCCCUAUGGUAUGUAAAACUCAUACUCAUAUGUAAGCCUCAUACUCCCUAUGGUAGUAAAACUUAAGGCCAGCAGGUAAAGAUUAUUUCUGCAUAUAGAUGGGAUUCUGUUUCUUUGCUGAAUUUGAAUGAAUAACACCUUACAUGGCAUAAAUAUAGAGUAGGAUUGCCCAGGUAUGAACCCCAAUUUCACUAAAAUAGUAACAUGAAUAAUGUGAGCAAGAUUACCUCUUCAAAUCUCAGUUUUCACCUUGAUAUAAUAGAAAUAACAACAGUGACUUUUCUGAAAAGUUGCUGGGCAGAGUAAAGGUGGUAAUCCUUUCAAGGAUCUCAAUAUGAUACCUGAUAGGCAGCUAAGCACUAGAGAGUAACUGCUAUUAUUAUUACUGUUGUUAUUAUUAUGUUUGCAUAAUACUGACAUGUUUCUACUUAAAUUCUAUCGCUGAGUGUAUUUGGUAUCUCUAAUAAAAGAAAGCAUUUUGAAAUACUUCUA
rnacentral:lncRNA from 10 species